AACGCACGAGACCUGCGGACCUGCGGAGGGAUCAUUACCGAGUUAUCCAACUCCCAACCCCUGUGAAUCAUACCUUUAAUUGUUGCUUCGGCGGGACUUCGCGCCCGCCGGGGACCCAAACCUUCUGAAUUUUUUAAUAAGUAUCUUCUGAGUGGUUAAAAAAAUGAAUCAAAACUUUCAACAACGGAUCUCU
rnacentral:misc_RNA from 1 species